rnacentral:rRNA from 1 species
UACAGAGGGGGCAAGCGUUGUUCGGAAUUACUGGGCGUAAAGGGCGCGUAGGCGGCCAACUAAGUCGGACGUGAAAUCCCCGGGCUCAACCCGGGAACUGCGUCCGAUACUGGAUGGCUUGAAUCCGGGAGAGGGAUGUGGAAUUCCAGGUGUAGCGGUGAAAUGCGUAGAUAUCUGGAGGAACACCGGUGGCGAAGGCGGCAUCCUGGACCGGUAUUGACGCUGAGACGCGAAAGCGUGGGGAGCGAACAGG